rnacentral:rRNA from 1 species
GAUGAACGCUGGCGGCGUGCCUAAUACAUGCAAGUCGAGCGAACAGACGAGGAGCUUGCUCCUCUGACGUUAGCGGCGGACGGGUGAGUAACACGUGGAUACCCUACCUAUAAGACUGGGAUAUCUUCGGGAAACCGGCGCUAAUACCGGAUAAUAUAUUGAUCCGCAUGGUUCAAUAGUGAAUGACGGUUUUGCUGUCACUUAUAGCUGGAUCCGCGCCGCAUUAGCUAGUUGGUAAGUUAACGGCUUACCAAGGCAACGAUGCGUAGCCGACCUGAGAGGGUGAUCGGCCACACUGGAACUGAGACACGGUCCAGACUCCUAAGGGAGGCAGCAGUAGGGAAUCUUCCGCAAUGGGCGAAAGCAUGACGGAGCAACGCCGCGUGAGUGAUGAAGGUCUUCGGAUCGUAAAACUCUGUUAUUAGGGAAGAACAAAUGUGUAAGUAACUAUGCACGUCUUGACGGUACCGAAUCAGAAAGCCACGGCUAACUACGUG